rnacentral:rRNA from 1 species
AUUGAACGCUGGCGGCAUGCUUUACACAUGCAAGUCGAACGGUAACAGGCCUUCGGGUGCUGACGAGUGGCGAACGGGUGAGUAAUGCAUCGGAACGUACCCAGAGGUGGGGGAUAACGCAGCGAAAGCUGUGCUAAUACCGCAUGUGAUCUGAGGAUGAAAGCGGGGGACCGAGCAGCAAUGUUUGGCCUCGCGCCUUUGGAGCGGCCGAUGUCGGAUUAGCUAGUUGGUGGGGUAAAGGCCUACCAAGGCGACGAUCCGUAGCUGGUCUGAGAGGACGACCAGCCACACUGGGACGGAGACACGGCCCAGAGUCCUACGGGAGGCAGCAGUGGGGAAUUUGGGACGAUGGGCGCAAGCCUGAUCCAGCAAUGCCGCGUGCGGGAAGAAGGCCUUCGGGUUGUAAACCGCUUUUGGCAGGAACGAAACGGUGUCCGCUAAUACCGGGCGCUAAUGACGGUACCGGCAGAAUAAGCACCGGCUAACUACGUG